GAUGAACGCUGGCGGCGUGCCUAAUACAUGCAAGUCGAGCGAACAGAUAAGGAGCUUGCUCCUUUGACGUUGGCGGCGGACGGGUGAGUAACACGUGGGUAACCUACCUAUAAGACUGGGAUAACUUCGGGAAACCGGAGCUAAUACCGGAUAACAUUUGGAACCGCAUGGUUCUAAAGUGAAAGAUGGUUUUGCUAUCACUUAUAGAUGGACCCGCGCCGUAUUAGCUAGUUGGUAAGGUAACGGCUUACCAAGGCGACGAUACGUAGCCGACCUGAGAGGGUGAUCGGCCACACUGGGACUGAGACACGGUCCAGACUCCUACGGGAGGCAGCAGUAGGGAAUCUUCCGCAAUGGGCGAAAGCCUGACGGAGCAACGCCGCGUGAGUGAUGAAGGGUUUCGGCUCGUAAAACUCUGUUAUUAGGGAAGAACAAACGUGUAAGUAACUGUGCACGUCUUGACGGUACCUAAUCAGAAAGCCACGGCUAACUACGUG
rnacentral:rRNA from 1 species